UUUUUUUUCUACUGUAAAUCAUGAUGACCCAGUUACACAUACAUGUAUACAUUUUUUUUCACAUUAUCAUGCUCCAUCACAAGUGACUAAACAUAGUUUCCAGUGCUACAAAGCAGGAUCUCAUUGCUAAUCCAUUUCAAAGGCAAUAUUCUGCAUCUAUUAACCCCAAGCUCCUAAUCCAUCCCACUUCCAAAUUCCCAAAGCUGUUAUGGUUUGAUGCAUCAUAUUCCAUAAGUUAUGGUCUGUUCUCCCUUAGGAAAUCCACCAGUCAGGAUGUCCCAUAUCAUCACUGAUAAUCCUCUUUGGGAAUAGGUAAGAAUAUACUAGAUUAAAUUUUUAAUGUGCAUGUAUAUUUGUUAUUUUCUAUACAGUUCAUUUUCACUUGGUUUGGAAAUAUCACAUUUUAAAAUGUCUUUCAUUCUCCUUUUAUAGUGAUAAAAAUGAUUAUUUUUAGAGCUAUAUGUUCUUUUCUAAAGUAAAAUAUGUAGAUAAAAGAAUAUUACUUAAUGAGUAUUUCAUUUACAUUAUAUUAAACAUCAUUACAAUAAAUGCUUCUGCAAUUAAAAAAAAAGUUUGCUAGAACCAUGUUUUGUCCCAAUACUGGUUAUAUAUUUUCAUAAAUUAUUGUUUUAUCCCCAAGAUAUAUUGCAUGAUAUAUUAAAACACUAUCUUUGAGCUACCAGAAAUUCCUCUACAUCCACAGAAGCUGAAGAGUAAAAGAAAAUAACAAAACUAAGUAUUCUCAAUCUCAGUGACAUGCUUACAAUUUAAUAUUCUCAUCUUCUCAUGACUGGAAGCUUACUGAGAGCAACUCUGGUAUCUACCUUAUGCACUGCUAUCCUGCCAAAGGUCUAACACAGUGCCUUACAAUAGAAGGUGCUCAACAUUUUUCGAGAAACAGAGUGAAAUUCUGCUUAGUUUCUGUGAGAUUCUAAAUUUAUACAACUGAGGAGACAGCUCAUUGUUGAGCCUAUAACCAAGGAAAUCAUCUGUCUCUUUCCAACAUCACACCAAUGCCACAGUGAAAUGAAGUGUGUGGGGUGGGAAAGGAAAGAACACUGGGUGGAUCUAAAACCCUUUGUUUUCAUGCUCUUCCCCAGUGUCUACAGAGCUUCAGUUAAGUCACUUAGCUUCCCAUAGACUUGCUUUUUAUUACCUGUAAAGUGUGGUUACUGCCUGCUUUCUCUAUCCCCCAGGGCAGCCAUGUAAAAGACAUGAGUGAGAUCGUGUACGUUAUAGGGUCUUGUAACCUGCAAAAUGCAGUGACAGCUGGAUCUGAGUAUAAAUCUUCAUCUGGUCCCUGAACGAGAACAAAUGUGACUUGUCACCAGCACAGAGCUAUUAUUAUGCAGACUACAUUAUGAUUGAUUGGGAACACCCUUUUCCCUUUUAUUUUUCGUCAGUAGAGCAGAGGUUAUCCAGGUUUUUUCCCUGUGCCCUAAGACCCUGCAGCAUCCAGAAACUUGAUGUACCAUUCUACGUAGUAAUGGAGGUACAUGGUCUUACAGAUCUCAAGAUUGCAACUGGAGUUUAGAAUGCAUGCUUUUUUGGUAUUUGACCAAUUUAUAUUCAUAUCUUUUUUGUGUGUAUAGGAAGAAGAGAGCCAGGCAAGUUAAAAUAAAUUGGGACUCUGAACAAAAUACUGGUCUAUACUAUGCUGCUGGAGUAUCAGGGAGAAAAGAUCUCAGAGAGCUGUUUUGCUGGCUUCUUUAUACAACACCCAUCAUUCGGUGUUUCCCAUACCUUCUGGACCCUGUAGUUUCUUAGUCAAGCAUCUAGGAAGCAGUAAGUAACAAAG
ensembl:lncRNA